rnacentral:misc_RNA from 1 species
GAUGAAGAACGUAGCGAAAUGCGAUACGUAAUGUGAAUUGCAGAAUUCAGUGAAUCAUCGAAUCUUUGAACGCAUAUUGCGCUCUCUGGUAUUCCGGAGAGCAUGCUUGUUUGAGUAUCAGUAAACACCUCAACUCCCCUUUCUUUUUUGAAAUGGGAGCUGGAUUUGAGUGAUCCCAACGCUUUUCUCACCGAAAAGUGGCGGGUUACUUGAAAUGCAGGUGCAGCUGGACUUUUCUCUGAGCUAAAAGCAUAUCUAUUUAGUCUGCCUAAAAAACAGAUUAUUACCUUUGCUGCAGCUAACAUAAAGGAGAUUAGUUCUUGUGCUGACUGAUGCAGGAUUCACAGAGACAGCUUCGGCUGGCCUUUGUAAACUCGAUCUCAAAUCAAGUAAGACUACCCGCUGAACUUAAGCAUAUCAAUAAGCGGAGGA